UGACCGAUAGUGAACCAGUACCGUGAGGGAAAGGCGAAAAGAACCCCGGCGAGGGGAGUGAAAAAGAACCUGAAACCGUGUACGUACAAGCAGUGGGAGCACCUUCGGGUGUGACUGCGUACCUUUUGUAUAAUGGGUCAGCGACUUAUAUUCUGUAGCAAGGUUAACCGUAUAGGGGAGCCGCAGGGAAACCGAGUCUUAACUGGGCGUUAAGUUGCAGGGUAUAGACCCGAAACCCGGUGAUCUAGCCAUGGGCAGGUUGAAGGUUGGGUAACACUAACUGGAGGACCGAACCGACUAAUGUUGAAAAAUUAGCGGAUGACUUGUGGCUGGGGGUGAAAGGCCAAUCAAACCGGGAGAUAGCUGGUUCUCCCCGAAAGCUAUUUAGGUAGCGCCUCGUGAAUUCAUCUUCGGGGGUAGAGCACUGUUUCGGCUAGGGGGUCAUCCCGACUUACCAACCCGAUGCAAACUACGAAUACCGAAGAAUGUUAUCACGGGAGACACACGGCGGGUGCUAACGUCCGUCGUGAAGAGGGAAACAACCCAGACCGCCAGCUAAGGUCCCAAAGUCAUGGUUAAGUGGGAAACGAUGUGGGAAGGCACAGACAGCCAGGAUGUUGGCUUAGAAGCAGCCAUCAUUUAAAGAAAGCGUAAUAGCUCACUGGUCGAGUCGGCCUGCGCGGAAGAUGUAACGGGGCUAAACCAUGCACCGAAGCUGCGGCAGCGACACUAUGUGUUGUUGGGUAGGGGAGCGUUCUGUAAGCCUGCGAAGGUGACCUGUGAGGGUUGCUGGAGGUAUCAGAAGUGCGAAUGCUGACAUAAGUAACGAUAAAGCGGGUGAAAAGCCCGCUCGCCGGAAGACCAAGGGUUCCUGUCCAACGUUAAUCGGGGCAGGGUGAGUCGACCCCUAAGGCGAGGCCGAAAGGCGUAGUCGAUGGGAAACAGGUUAAUAUUCCUGUACUUGGUGUUACUGCGAAGGGGGGACGGAGAAGGCUAUGUUAGCCGGGCGACGGUUGUCCCGGUUUAAGCAUGUAGGCUGGUUGUCCAGGCAAAUCCGGAUAAUCAAGGCUGAGGUGUGAUGACGAGGCACUACGGUGCUGAAGUAACAAAUGCCCUGCUUCCAGGAAAAGCCUCUAAGCAUCAGGUAACAUUAAAUCGUACCCCAAACCGACACAGGUGGUCAGGUAGAGAAUACCAAGGCGCUUGAGAGAACUCGGGUGAAGGAACUAGGCAAAAUGGUGCCGUAACUUCGGGAGAAGGCACGCUGGUGUGUAGGUGAAGUCCCUGCGGAUGGAGCUGAGACCAGUCGAAGAUACCAGCUGGCUGCAACUGUUUAUUAAAAACACAGCACUGUGCAAACACGAAAGUGGACGUAUACGGUGUGACGCCUGCCCGGUGCCGGAAGGUUAAUUGAUGGGGUUAUCCGUAAGGAGAAGCUCUUGAUCGAAGCCCCGGUAAACGGCGGCCGUAACUAUAACGGUCCUAAGGUAGCGAAAUUCCUUGUCGGGUAAGUUCCGACCUGCACGAAUGGCGUAAUGAUGGCCAGGCUGUCUCCACCCGAGACUCAGUGAAAUUGAACUCGCUGUGAAGAUGCAGUGUACCCGCGGCAAGACGGAAAGACCCCGUGAACCUUUACUAUAGCUUGACACUGAACAUUGAGCCUUGAUGUGUAGGAUAGGUGGGAGGCUUUGAAGCGUGGACGCCAGUCUGCGUGGAGCCAACCUUGAAAUACCACCCUUUAAUGUUUGAUGUUCUAACGUUGGCCCCUUACCGGGGUUGCGGACAGUGUCUGGUGGGUAGUUUGACUGGGGCGGUCUCCUCCCAAAGCGUAACGGAGGAGCACGAAGGUUAGCUAAUCCUGGUCGGACAUCAGGAGGUUAGUGCAAUGGCAUAAGCUAGCUUGACUGCGAGCGUGACGGCGCGAGCAGGUGCGAAAGCAGGUCAUAGUGAUCCGGUGGUUCUGAAUGGAAGGGCCAUCGCUCAACGGAUAAAAGGUACUCCGGGGAUAACAGGCUGAUACCGCCCAAGAGUUCAUAUCGACGGCGGUGUUUGGCACCUCGAUGUCGGCUCAUCACAUCCUGGGGCUGAAGUAGGUCCCAAGGGUAUGGCUGUUCGCCAUUUAAAGUGGUACGCGAGCUGGGUUUAGAACGUCGUGAGACAGUUCGGUCCCUAUCUGCCGUGGGCGCUGGAGAAUUGAGGGGGGCUGCUCCUAGUACGAGAGGACCGGAGUGGACGCAUCACUGGUGUUCGGGUUGUCAUGCCAAUGGCACUGCCCGGUAGCUAAAUGCGGAAGAGAUAAGUGCUGAAAGCAUCUAAGCACGAAACUUGCCCCGAGAUGAGUUCUCCCUGAGACUUUAAGUCUCCUGAAGGAACGUUGAAGACGACGACGUUGAUAGGCCGGGUGUGUAAGCGCAGCGAUGCGUUGAGCUAACCGGUACUAAUGAACCGUGAGGCUUAACCUU
rnacentral:rRNA from 1 species